rnacentral:rRNA from 1 species
UACGUAGGGGGCGAGCGUUGUCCGGAAUCAUUGGGCGUAAAGCGCGUGUAGGCGGCCCGGUAAGUCCGCUGUGAAAGUCCAGGGCUCAACCCUGGGAUGCCGGUGGAUACUGUCGGGCUAGAGUCCGGAAGAGGAGUGUGGAAUUCCUGGUGUAGCGGUGAAAUGCGCAGAUAUCAGGAGGAACACCAGUGGCGAAGGCGACUACCUGGCCUGUUCUUGACGCUGAGGCGCGAAAGCUAGGGGAGCAAACGGG